UUUCAAGUUGAUGCGCCCAGGACCCUAGGACGCAGCGCUCGCACUCCGGUGUGGCGUCUUGCCGUGAAACCCCAUGCCCAGUGCUUGCUUCCCUGCUGGGCCUUAGGGGCGAGACCCUCUUGACACCACGAAGGAUGACGAAGCUAGUCUGCGGCAGCCAACGCCCCUCCCCCCGACUCUCUGCACUCUGUGGUGGUCGCUACUGUCCAGGAAGCAGGAGUCCAGAACUGACACCUUGGUGCAGAGGGGCCAUGAGAGACAUCUACCCUGUCAGGAAGCAGCCGGACCACAGCG
rnacentral:lncRNA from 1 species